GAACGAGGUAGAUGAAGAGGUCUGGAAAGGCCCGCCAUAGGAGGUAACAGCCCUGUAGUCAAAACUUCGUUCUCUCCUGAGUGGAUCCUGAGUACGGCGGAACACGUGAAAUUCCGUCGGAAUCCGGGAGGACCAUCUCCCAAGGCUAAAUACUCCCUAGUGACCGAUAGUGAACCAGUACCGUGAGGGAAAGGUGAAAAGCACCCCGGAAGGGGAGUGAAAGAGAUCCUGAAACCGUGUGCCUACAAGUAGUCAGAGCCCGUUAACGGGUGAUGGCGUGCCUUUUGUAGAAUGAACCGGCGAGUUACGAUCUCGUGCAAGGUUAAGCAGAAGAUGCGGAGCCGCAGCGAAAGCGAGUCUGAAUAGGGCGCAUGAGUACGUGGUCGUAGACCCGAAACCAGGUGAUCUACCCAUGUCCAGGGUGAAGUUCAGGUAACACUGAAUGGAGGCCCGAACCCACGCACGUUGAAAAGUGCGGGGAUGAGGUGUGGGUAGGGGUGAAAUGCCAAUCGAACCUGGAGAUAGCUGGUUCUCUCCGAAAUAGCUUUAGGGCUAGCCUCAAGGUAAGAGUCUUGGAGGUAGAGCACUGAUUGGACUAGGG
rnacentral:rRNA from 2 species